rfam:Neocallimastix californiae strain G1 LY90scaffold_573, whole genome shotgun sequence.
GUCUGUUUGGCUUAGUGGUAGAGCGUCGCUCUUGUAAAGCGAAGGUCGGUGGUUCGAUUCCGUCAAUAGGCA